CAGCCAGCCGACGGGGGGAAUGAUGUGUGAUGGCUUGAUUUAUUCCACAAACCCGGGUAACUGGACGUUUUUAAACGGGACCCGCAGAGCAGAAGGCUUGACUUGGCUAUCUAUCUGGCAACAUUUGCUGCAACUGACUUUUGCGGACCAUCAUUUGGUGCCUUUCCUCACGGAUUUAGUGGACCAUCAAACCCCAGCUGGACUCUGGUGGCUUUGUGGGCACUCAGCGCUACAGACUUUACAAAUAAGUAUUAAAACUGCAUAUGCCUAAGAAACCCUGAGGACCCAAAGAUUUCACAUCACAAUCUGGACAAACAGUUGCAUCCCAUAAUGGAAGAUUAAAGAAGAGGGGCUGCCUGAGGCAGUGCCUCGGCAUGCGCCUCGGUGUCGCACUUGGAGUCGCCUUGAGGUCACCUGGAGAAGAUCAGAAGAAGAUCAUGGAAGAUUCCUUGUUCUUAUUGUUUGGUUUGGUUGCAUUAUGUUAUUCUUAAUGCUGGUUAGGUAUUAUUUUAUUGUUUAGUUUUUUAGAUCUGUUGUU